rnacentral:rRNA from 16 species
CACCGCCCGUCGCUCCUACCGAUUGAAUGGUCCGGUGAAGUGUUUGGAUCGCGACGACGGGGGCGGUUCGCCGCCCCCGACGUCGCGAGAAGUCCAUUGAACCUUAUCAUUUAGAGGAAGGAGAAGUCGUAACAAGGUUUCCGUAGGUGAACCUGCGGAAG